rnacentral:lncRNA from 1 species
UAAAUCUUUUAAGGGGGGGGUUAGAAGGAUUACUUUAUCCUAUCCCAGGUGUCUCCGGAAGGUGGUGAUUGACUCCGCUGUCCUGGCGUCGUGAGGGAGCUUGUUCCACCAUUGGGGUGCCAGAGCAGCGAACAGUUUUGACUGGGCUGAGCGGGAACUGUGCUUCCUCAGAGGUAGGGAGGCGAGCAGGCCAGAGGUGGAUGAACGGAGUGCCCUUGUUUGGGUGUAGGGCCUGAUCAGAGCCUGAAGGUACGGAGGUGCCGUUCCCCUCACAGCUCCGUAGGCAAGCACCAUGGUCUUGUAGCGGAUGCGAGCAGGCCAGAGGUGGAUGAACGGAGUGCCCUUGUUUGGGUGUAGGGCCUGAUCAGAGCCUGAAGGUACGGAGGUGCCGUUCCCCUCACAGCUCCGUAGGCAAGCACCAUGGUCUUGUAGCGGAAGCCUUAGUUACAAGGGGAUGGGGGGUGUUUCACAAAGCAAUCAAGAAGCAACUCAGUUUGUAAAGCAACGAAAUUUGAGUGAAAAUUCCUUCG